rnacentral:rRNA from 1 species
GACGAACGCUGGCGGCGUGCCUAAUACAUGCAAGUCGAGCGGACCAAAGGGAGCUUGCUCCUGGAGGUUAGCGGCGAACGGGUGAGUAACACGUGGGCAACCUGCCUGUAAGACUGGGAUAACAUCGAGAAAUCGGUGCUAAUACCGGAUAAUAAAAAGAACUGCAUGGUUCUUUUUGAAAGAUGGUUUCGGCUAUCACUUACAGAUGGCCGCGGCGCAUUAGCUAGUUGGUGAGGUAACGGCUCACCAAGGCGACGAUGCGUAGCCGACCUGAGAGGGUGAUCGGCCACACUGGGACUGAGACACGGCCCAGACUCCUACGGGAGGCAGCAGUAGGGAAUCUUCCGCAAUGGACGAAAGUCUGACGGAGCAACGCCGCGUGAGUGAUGAAGGUUUUCGGAUCGUAAAACUCUGUUGUUAGGGAAGAACAAGUGCCGUUCGAAAGGGCGGCACCUUGACGGUACCUAACGAGAAAGCCACGGCUAACUACGUGCCAGCAGCCGCGGUAA